rfam:Culex flavivirus isolate H0901, complete genome
CCCCAGUCCCCCAGGUUAUGGAGGAAUAACCCCGACGUGCUGAAAGGGCA